rnacentral:lncRNA from 1 species
CCUGGGUGACAGAGCGAGACUCCAUCUCAAAAAAAAAGAAAAAGAAAUAAGGAGUAUAAACAAUUAUUGGAAACUGGAAGAGCUGUCUGUGGUGAAGGAUACAAUGAGAGAGGGGAAGGGGAUGAAAAUAACUAAAUGAAAUAACUUAGAUUGCAUUGUCCCCAGCAGAAUGACAACUAAACAGAUGAGGAUUUGUCUGAAGAGCAAUCGUGGGGAGAUGCCACAAGUGGGGUGGGGGAGAUUCCACUUCAGUUCCUGGGUAGGUGGAUGUAUGCCCUCACUUACAUUGUGCAGAACCAUAAUUCUGAGAUUCUGUAGAGUGUCUGAUGAAUGAUAAGGUGAUCUUUUUCUAAUGGAAAGUAACAGCAUUAAGCCCAGGCAAGCGCAUGCCGUCCUAGCUCAUGGUUAUAGAUGACAUACCAAAUAACCCACCCACCACAUUUCAUCUAAUUCACUCAGACAACCUUCUCAGGGAGAGAGCUCCCAGAGGUCACCAAGGCUGUACUGGACAAAAGUAAACUGUGGACGAAGAGGCUUGGAACUUUCUGGCUUCCCUUGUUUGAAGGCAGUGGAAGAUGUUAGGCAGCUUGAGCACUCAGGGGGAAGGGGGAACUGGAGUAGGCAGACAAAAAGGGAGGUAAACACAAAGGGGGAACUUUCUUCUCUGUACUACUCAAAACGGGGACUCUGAUCCCACUGGUUCAGAAGAUCUAGGGUACCUGAUGGGUUCUGGAAUUCCUGGUUGGAUGAAGGACUGUAGGCGCAGAGCCUUGAUGCGAGAAGGCAUCAAGACAUCGGGCCAUUAAACAGGUAGGGUAUGGAGAGGACCCAGGGACAGAACUCAAACCUUCCAUCUGGGGCAUCAUCGGGGAAAGAUACUGUUCCACAGUGUUAAAACUCAAAGACCACUGCAAAGUGGGAGAAAAACAGAAUUCUGAGGCUGGAAUAGACAAGGCAGAAGAAUUCAAUGCUGUGCCACAUUCCAGUUAAACAAAUUCUGACCUCACAAAAGGAAAUCAAGAUCUAGGUUCCAAGUGUGAAGAAAAGGCUUCCCUGGGGUUGGUGUGUGCUAGCCAGGAGAUCAGUAUGGUGGGUCUUGUGGGGUGUGAGAACUGGCAAGGGGAACCCCAUCUCAGAUGACAGCACACAGAAACUGGCUUGGAGACCUCCUUCAGGCACAUACCUGCUGCACAAAGAUCACCAGACAGUAGGAGUGGAGACAGGAAAAGACAUUUGCAUCUCAGGGUUGGAGACAGAAGAGGGGGUUGUUUGUUGAUAUUUCCUGCUCUAGCUCUCCUGUUCUUGAACCAAAUUGGAAGAACUCAAGGACUAUGAUGUUGGAUUCACCCAGGGAUCCAUGGAAUCAAAGGUGUUAAUGGGGUUGUCAUGAUGGGCAUCCAUGGACAAGUUUUCCACAGAGAAUUCCACAUGUCUCCACUCCCCGGGCAGUGUUGGCACUGGCUAACUGGAGAAACUGUGGGCACAGCCGCCCAGGCACCACCACAUGGCGCAAUCCAUCGAUUGUGGGAACUGUAAAGGAGAAAGGAGAAUAGUCUGCGACCACUGAGCCCUGCCUCCUCAAGCAGACCUCACAGCCAGCAGCCCUGGAGGAGCAACAUUAAGCCACUGGGAUUCCCCCAACUUCAGGCAGAUCUGGUACUCAGAUGCAGAGACUACUACUUUUAUCUUGAAGUCAGUCUGUGCUGCUCUGAAGCUUUUAGAUGGGCAACAAUGAAAGUGAAGACCCACCUUUACUGUGUCUUUCUUUUCAGGAAUGACAGCAGAUUUGUAAUCUCGAUGUUUUGGUAGUUUCUCAAUAAAGAGCCUAAGGAAACAGUU